GCCCUCUUAGCUCAGGGGUAGAGCAACCGCCUUGUAAGCGGUAGGUCGUGGGUUCAAAUCCUACAGGGGGCACCA
rnacentral:tRNA from 1 species